GAUGAACGCUGGCGGCGUGCCUAAUACAUGCAAGUCGAGCGAACAGACGAGGAGCUUGCUCCUCUGACGUUAGCGGCGGACGGGUGAGUAACACGUGGAUAACCUACCUAUAAGACUGGGAUAACUUCGGGAAACCGGAGCUAAUACCGGAUAAUAUAUUGAACCUCAUGUUUCAAUAGUGAAAGACGGUUUUGCUGUCACUUAUAGAUGGAUCCGCGCCGCAUUAGCUAGUUGGUAAGGUAACGGCUUACCAAGGCAACGAUGCGUAGCCGACCUGAGAGGGUGAUCGGCCACACUGGAACUGAGACACGGUCCAGACUCCUACGGGAGGCAGCAGUAGGGACUCUUCCGCAAUGGGCGAAAGCCUGACGGAGCACAGCCGCGUGAGUGAUGAAGGUCUUCGGAUCGUAAAACUCUGUUAUUAGGGAAGAACAAAUGUGUAAGUAACUAUGCACGUCUUGACGGUACCUAAUCAGAAAGCCACGGCUAACUACGUG
rnacentral:rRNA from 1 species